rnacentral:rRNA from 1 species
GACGGAAGGUGCAAGCGUUGCUCGGAAUCACUGGGCUUAAAGCGUGUGUAGGCGGAUCGUUAAGUACCUUGUGAAAUCCCACGGCUCAACCGUGGAACUGCUGGGUAUACUGGCGGUCUUGAGCCACCUAGGGGCGAGCGGAACAAGCGGUGGAGCGGUGAAAUGCGUAGAUAUCGCUUGGAACGCCAACGGUGAAAACAGCUCGCUGGGGGUGUGCUGACGCUGAGACACGAAAGCCAGGGGAGCGAACGGG